GACGAACGCUGGCGGCGUGCUUAACACAUGCAAGUCGAACGGAAAGGCCCUGCUUUUGUGGGGUGCUCGAGUGGCGAACGGGUGAGUAACACGUGAGUAACCUGCCCUUGACUUUGGGAUAACUUCAGGAAACUGGGGCUAUUACCGGAUAGGAGCUCCUGCUGCAUGGUGGGGGUUGGAAAGUUUCGGCGGUUGGGGAUGGACUCGCGGCUUAUCAGCUUGUUGGUGAGGUAGUGGCUUACCAAGGCUUUGACGGGUAGCCGGCCUGAGAGGGUGACCGGCCACAUGGGGACUGAGAUACGGCCCAGACUCCUACGGGAGGCAGCAGUGGGGAAUAUUGCACAAUGGGCGGAAGCGUGAUGCAGCAACGCCGCGUGCGGGAUGACGGCCUUCGGGUUGUAAACCGCUUUCGCCUGUGACGAAGCGUGAGUGACGGUAAUGGGUAAGGAAGCACCGGCUAACUACGUG
rnacentral:rRNA from 1 species